rnacentral:rRNA from 1 species
AGAGUUUGAUCAUGGCUCAGGACGAAUGCUGGCUGCGUGCUUAACACAUGCAAGUCGAACGGUGAACAGGGGCUUGCCCCUGGGAUCAGUGGCGAACGGGUGAGUAACACGUGGGCAACCUGCCCCUCACUCUGGGAUAACUCCGGGAAACCGGGGCUAAUACUGGAUACGACCAGGCACGACAUCGGGUCUGGUGGAAAGAACUUCGGUGAGGGAUGGGCCCGCGGCCUAUCAGCUUGUUGGUGAGGUAAUGACUCACCAAGGCGACGACGGGUAGCCGGCCUGAGAGGGCGACCGGCCACACUGGGACUGAGACACGGCCCAGACUCCUACGGGAGGCAGCAGUGGGGAAUAUUGCGCAAUGGGCGAAAGCCUGACGCAGCGACGCAGCGUGAGGGACGAAGGCCUUCGGGUUGUAAACCUCUUUCAGCGGGGACGAAGCGAAAGUGACGGUACCCGCAGAAGAAGCACCGGCUAACUACGUG